AUUGAACGCUGGCGGCGUGCUUAACACAUGCAAGUCGUGCGGUAACAGGCGUAGCAAUACGUGCUGACGAGCGGCGAACGGGUGCGUAAUACAUGGGAAUCUGCCCUUUAGUGGGGAAUAACCCGGCGAAAGCCGGGCUAAUGCCGCAUAAGAUCUUCGGAUGAAAGCGGGGGAUCGUAAGACCUCGCGCUGAUGGAUGAGCCCAUGUCGGAUUAGCAGUUGGUGAGGUAACGGCUCACCAAGGCGACGAUCCGUAGCUGGUCUGAGAGGACGGCCAGCCACACUGGGACUGAGACACGGCCCAGACUCCUACGGGAGGCAGCAGUGGGGGAAUAUUGGACAAGUGGGCGAAAGCCUGAUCCAGCGACGCCGCGUGUGUGAAGAAGGCCUGCGGGUUGUAAAGC
rnacentral:rRNA from 1 species